AUCGGUCUGCAGUUGAGAUAUUGUGUGUUGACCCCCAACCGAAAGGUUCUGGCUUUAAAUCACAAUGUCCACAGCAUACCUGA
rnacentral:pre_miRNA from 1 species